rnacentral:rRNA from 1 species
CAGCCGCCGCGGUAAUACGGAGGGUGCAAGCGUUAUCCGGAUUUAUUGGGUUUAAAGGGUCCGUAGGCGGACUUAUAAGUCAGUGGUGAAAGCCUGUCGCUUAACGAUAGAACUGCCAUUGAUACUGUAAGUCUUGAGUAUAUUUGAGGUAGCUGGAAUAAGUAGUGUAGCGGUGAAAUGCAUAGAUAUUUCUUAGAACACCAAUUGCGAAGGCAGGUUACCAAGAUAUAACUGACGCUGAGGGACGAAAGCGUGGGUAGCGAACAGGAUUAGAUACCCGCGUAGUCCCUGUCUCUUAUAC